rnacentral:rRNA from 1 species
UUGGGAGAUUUUAACGAAAUUCUACUGUCUUCCGAAAAGGAGGGAGGCAAUGCGAGACCUAACGCAAUGAUGAGGGAAUUUCGUAAUUGUUUGGGAGAGUGCGGGCUGGAAGAUAUGGGAUGUAUUGGGGACCCUUUCACUUGGAGGAGGGGCAAUGUUAGGGAGAGGCUUGACCGUGCGGUUUGUAAUGUGGAAUGGGCAAACAAAUUCCCUAGGUCGGCAGUAAUAAAUGAAGAACAUGUACAUUCCGAUCAUCGCCCUAUCAUUCUGGAUACAAAAUACUUUGAUGGCAAUAUUUUUAACCACCCAGAAAGCCGACAAAAGCAAUUUGAAGCCCGAUGGCUCAAAGAAGAAAUCGUUGAAGAAAUUGUACGUACAGCAUGGGAAAAAGCAAAAUUACGGGGUAUUGGGCCCUCUCUCGCUGAGCGUACACGGGCGGUGAAUGCGGAUUUACAUAUUUGGGGUCGGGAUAUUCUCAGAGGACCCAAAAAAGAAUUAAUAAAUUAA